UACGAAGGGGGCUAGCGUUGCUCGGAAUUACUGGGCGUAAAGGGCGCGUAGGCGGAUAUUUAAGUUAGAGGUGAAAGCCCAGGGCUCAACCCUGGAAUAGCCUUUAAUACUGGAUAUCUUGAGUUCGGGAGAGGUGAGUGGAACUCCGAGUGUAGAGGUGAAAUUCGUAGAUAUUCGCAAGAACACCAGUGGCGAAGGCGGCCAACUGGACCAACACUGACGCUGAGGCGCGAAAGCGUGGGGAGCAAACAGG
rnacentral:rRNA from 1 species